rnacentral:rRNA from 1 species
UACGGGGGGUGCGAGCGUUGUCCGGAAUCACUGGGCUUAAAGGGCGCGUAGGCGGGUGCUCAAGUCCGGGGUGAAAUCCUCCAGCUCAACUGGAGAACUGCCUCGGAUACUGGGUGUCUCGAGGGUGGUAGGGGUAUGCGGAACUAUCGGUGGAGCGGUGAAAUGCGUUGAUAUCGAUAGGAACUCCGGUGGCGAAGGCGGCAUACUGGACCACAUCUGACGCUGAGGCGCGAAAGCCAGGGGAGCAAACGGG